rnacentral:rRNA from 1 species
CCCCUCAAGAUGAGAUUUCCCAGUAUGUAAGACCCCUGAAAGACGAUCAGGUUGAUAGGUUCGAGGUGGAAGUGCAGCAAUGCAUGCAGCUGACGAAUACUAAUCGGUCGAGGGCUUAUCCUA